rnacentral:sRNA from 1 species
UGUAUGAUAUUUAUGUUAGAGUCACACGC